rnacentral:lncRNA from 1 species
UUGGGUGUCUUUGUAAUCAUUAAUCUGUACAAAGGAAACAUUAAGGUCUUAGUGGUGAGAGAAGUUGCAGUGGUGCAAGGGAACAGAUGUGUCCAAAAUCAGAAUUGAUCUUCGUUGUACAAUGAGUAUUUUGUGUAAUCUUUUGAGUAUUAAGUUUAAUAAAAAGUGUCACCAAUACCAUUUGGUAUUGGACGUGAAUUAGGCCACUAGACUAGAUGUUAGAGGCUGAAUUAUGUAAAAAUCUUGGUGUGAUUUCUUUCAUGUUCUUCUCU